rnacentral:misc_RNA from 1 species
GUGAAUCAUCAAAUUUUUGAACGCAAAUUGCACUCCCUGGUAUUCCGGAGAGUAUGCCUGUUUGAGGGUCAGUUUUAAUAAAAAUCGGUGUGGUUGCUGCCUUUCGUGGUUACGCUCUGCGUUUGGGUCGUCUUGAAAUCGGUUAACAGACCUAAUAUUUUGCAUGAUUUUUUUUGAACGUAGUUAAUUGAUCUUAUGUACGUUACC